rnacentral:rRNA from 1 species
GGAUACCACCUGGAAACAGGUGCUAAUACCGCAUAAGCGCACGGGAGCGCAUGCUCCUGUGUGAAAAACUCCGGUGGUAUGGGAUGGACCCGCGUCUGAUUAGCCAGUUGGCAGGGUAACGGCCUACCAAAGCGACGAUCAGUAGCCGGCCUGAGAGGGUGGACGGCCACAUUGGGACUGAGACACGGCCCAAACUCCUACGGGAGGCAGCAGUGGGGAAUAUUGCACAAUGGGGGAAACCCUGAUGCAGCGACGCCGCGUGAGUGAGGAAGUAUUUCGGUAUGUAAAGCUCUAUCAGCAGGAACGAGACAAGACGGUACCUGACUAAGAAGCCCCGGCUAACUACGUGCCAGCAGCCGCGGUAAUACGUAGGGGGCAAGCGUUAUCCGGAAUCACUGGGUGUAAAGGGAGCGUAGACGGCUGAGCAAGCCUGAAGUGAAAGGCGGGGGCCCAACCCCCGGACUGCUUUGGGAACUGUACGGCUGGAGUGCAGGAGAGGUAAGUGGAAUUCCUAGUGUAGCGGUGAAAUGCGUAGAUAUUAGGAGGAACACCAGUGGCGAAGGCGGCUUACUGGACUGUAACUGACGUUGAGGCUCGAAAGCGUGGGGAGCAAACAGGAUUAGAUACCCUGGUAGUCCACGCCGUAAACGAUGAUUACUAGGUGUCGGGGGGCAGAGGCCCUUCGGU